UUCUUUUAGAUUUUAUUGAAAGUAUCUUUUGCUCAAUGAUUUAUUAAAUAGCAGCAGAUUUCUGUUCUAAGGUAGCAUAAUCAAUUGUCUUAUUAAUUGUAGACUAGUAUGAAGGAGGGAAUAAUUUAUGACUUUAUUUUCUAUAUUAAUUNAAAUUAAUUUUUUAGUAAAAAAGCUAAAAUUAAAUAUAGGGACAAGAAGACCCUANAAAGCUAAAUAAGUUUUUAANAUNUAUUGUAUAGAAAAUUUUUUUANUGGNGCAAUAUAUUAUUANAAAAAUUAUAAUAAUAAUAAAAUUAUUAAUAUUAUUGAUCCUAUUUAUAGAGAAUUUGAAAAAGUUACUUUAGGGAUAACAGGAUAAUUUUUGUGAAGAAGUACAAAUUUUUUAUAAAGAUUAUUACCUCGAUGUUGAAUUAAUUGUAUAGUAGGGAGAAAAAAUUCUAUAUAUUUGACUGUUCGUCAAUUAAAAAAUUACA
rnacentral:rRNA from 1 species